rnacentral:rRNA from 1 species
GAUGAACGCUGGCGGCGUGCUUAACACAUGCAAGUCGAACGAUGAAGCCCAGCUUGCUGGGUGGAUUAGUGGCGAACGGGUGAGUAACACGUGAGUAACCUGCCCUUAACUCUGGGAUAAGCCUGGGAAACUGGGUCUAAUACCGGAUAGGAGCGUCCACCGCAUGGUGGGUGUUGGAAAGAUUUAUCGGUUUUGGAUGGACUCGCGGCCUAUCAGCUUGUUGGUGAGGUAAUGGCUCACCAAGGCGACGACGGGUAGCCGGCCUGAGAGGGUGACCGGCCACACUGGGACUGAGAAACGGCCCAGACUCCUACGGGAGGCAGCAGUGGGGAAUAUUGCACAAUGGGCGCAAGCCUGAUGCAGCGACGCCGCGUGAGGGAUGACGGCCUUCGGGUUGUAAACCUCUUUCAGUAGGGAAGAAGCGAAAGUGACGGUACAUGCAGAAGAAGCACCGGCUAACUACGUG